UUUUAUUGAAAAUCUCGUGUUUUAUGCUGAUAUGGUUAAUUGUUGUGGGUGCAAUAGAAUUUUUCAAUGGAUGGAAAGAACAGGAGGGAUUGCCAUAGCUGCAGAGAACGUGGAAAGAACAAGGAUUUCAUUGACGAUUUGUCCCGUUUGUCCAAAAAUCUUGCUCAAAUAUCUAAAGAAGAGGACGUGGAGAUAUUACUCAAUACAACUAUCCGCAAGAUAACAAGAGUUACAGAAGAGCAGGAGAAACAAGAGGGAAGAGAUCCGUGAAUUAGUUCCUUACAUUUAAUUGAUUAAAGAUUGAUCUUUUGAUUUGUAAGUCAUGUUUAUGUAAUAUGCACUAUAAGUUUAAGUUGAAUGGUGUUACAUGGUUUCUCUUUGAAUUUUGCAUUUUGAUUUAUGUGCGUGUAUGUUCUUGGAGUUAAUGUGACGUAAUAAAACCACGAACUGAGCUUAUUGUAUUGUACAGUUCGUUUAUUGAGAUGGAUAGUUCAUUUGUGCAAA
rnacentral:lncRNA from 1 species